rnacentral:rRNA from 1 species
AAGUAAAAGUAGUAACAAGGUUUCCGUAGGUGAACCUGCGGAAGGAUCAUUAAAGAAUUGCCCCAUUUUUUGAAAUGGGUUCUAUUCCCAAACCGUGUAUACAUACCUUUGUUGCUUUGGCAAGCCGUCCUUCGGGCGCAGCUUCGGCUGGGGGCGCUUGCCAGAGGACCCCAACUCUUUUGUUUAGUGAUGUCUGAGUACUAUAUAAUCCUUAAAACUUUCAACAACGGAUCUCUUGGUUCUGGCAUCGAUGAAGAACGCAGCGAAAAGCGAAAAGUAAUGUGAAUUGCAGAAUUCAGUGAAUCAUCGAAUCUUUGAACGCACAUUGCGCCCCUUGGUAUUCCGAGGGGCAUGCCUGUUCGAGCGUCAUUAUGACCACUCAAGCCUAGCUUGGUAUUGGGGUUCGCGGUCUCGCGGCUCUUAAUUUCAGUGGCGGUGCCAUCUGGCUCUAAGCGUAGUAAUUCUCUCGCUAUAGGGCUUCGGUAGUUGCUUGCCAAAACCCCCCUAUUUCUCACGGUUGACCUCGAAUCAGGUAGGGAUAUUU